GAUUCGCUGCCAGUUGACGGUGGCUCAAUGCAUGGAACCAGGGUGUUCUUCACAGCAAAACCGACAACGUGCUGACGGGAUUUGUCCAAGGACUUCCCUUGCCAAAAGAAGCUGUAAGUUGCCUCUUUGAUGGUACCAGGGGUCUGUCUG